UGCCAAGUAUAAUUUUCAGAU
rnacentral:piRNA from 1 species